UACGGAAGGCAGCAGUGGGGAAUAUUGGACAAUGGGCGAAAGCCUGAUCCAGCCAUGCCGCAUGAGUGAAGAAGGCCUUCGGGUUGUAAAGCUCUUUUAGUGAGAAAGAUAAUGACGGUACUCACAGAAGAAGUCCUGGCUAACUCCGUGCCAGCAGCCGCGGUAAUACGGAGGGUGCGAGCGUUAAUCGGAAUUACUGGGCGUAAAGGGCACGCAGGCGGUUAAUUAAGUUGGAUGUGAAAUCCCCGGGCUUAACCUGGGAAUGGCAUUCAAGACUGGUUAGCUAGAGUCUUGUAGAGGGGGUAGAAUUCCAUGUGUAGCGGUGAAAUGCGUAGAGAUGUGGAGGAAUACCGGUGGCGAAGGCGGCCCCUGGACAAGACUGACGCUCAUGUGCGAAAGCGUGGGGAGCAAACAGGGAUUAGAUACC
rnacentral:rRNA from 1 species